GUAGCUAUUGCUGUGGCAGAGGAGGAGAAAAAGGAAGAAUCUGCUGCUGAGGAACCCACCACCGAUGCUGCACCGGCAACCACAGAGCCGGUGAAGGAAGAACCACCAGUUCCAGCAGCGGUGGUAGAAGAGAAGAAAGAAACUACACCUGUAGUGGAAGAGAAGAAAGAAGUUCCACCUGUUGUGGAAGAGAAGAAAGAAACUCCGGCGUCAGCAGAUCCAUCGGAGACGGUUGAGAAAGUGACUGAAAAGGUUACAGCAGAUGAGGAGGAUGGUUCUAAAGCCGUUGAAGAAAUCAAAGAGACGAUUGUUGAAGUGACUGCCACC
rnacentral:lncRNA from 1 species